GAAUGUGAGAACAAUUUGGCUAUGACAUCUGUCACCUCAUUGAUCACCGGGGCUGAUUUGGCUGAUCUAGCUGGCUAAGCAGGUGUCCCUUUCCUCCCUCACUGCUUGAUGUAUGUCCCUGCUGAAGCCACAGACUCAUUCAAAAAGGACUACCUUUCCCAGUAGAGAAGGAUAGCUCUUAGGUUAAGGGUGUAGGUGUGUCCGUGCUCUCCUGCUACAACCUCCAAAGAAGUUCUCAAGGUCCAUCUGUAGUAGAACAUAGGGGUAGUCAAGCGUCUAAGACUUCACAUACAUCUAAAUGAGGCAUUGCAGAUGUCAAUCUGCCUUUCUAA
ensembl:misc_RNA 7SK 7SK RNA